AAGGGGAUAGGAUAAGGUAAUCUCCUGGGCUCAUCCCCCUGUGAUACUGUCUUAGUAAGCAGUUCCCCUUU
rnacentral:tRNA from 1 species